AUUGAACGCUGGCGGCAGGCCUAACACAUGCAAGUCGGACGGUAGCACAGAGGAGCUUGCUCCUCGGGUGACGAGUGGCGGACGGGUGAGUAAUGUCUGGGGAUCUGCCCGAUAGAGGGGGAUAACCACUGGAAACGGUGGCUAAUACCGCAUAACGUCGCAAGACCAAAGAGGGGGACCUUCGGGCCUCUCACUAUCGGAUGAACCCAGAUGGGAUUAGCUAGUAGGCGGGGUAACGCCCCACCUAGGCGACGAUCCCUAGCUGGUCUGGGAGGAUGGCCAGCCACACUGGAACUGAGACACGGUCCAGACUCCUACGGGAGGCAGCAGUGGGGAAUAUUGCACAAUGGGCGCAAGCCUGAUGCAGCCAUGCCGCGUGUAUGAAGAAGGCCUUCGGGUUGUAAAGUACUUUCAGCGGGGAGGAAGGCGAUGUGGUUAAUAACCGCAUUGAUUGACGUUACCCGCAGAAGAAGCACCGGCUAACUCCGUGCCAGCCGCCGCUGUAA
rnacentral:rRNA from 1 species